rnacentral:misc_RNA from 1 species
AAUGAACCAAAAAAAAAAUUCUACUAAAUAACUUUAUCAUUUCUGAAAGUAAAUUCAACUAUAUUAAAAGCCAUAGCAUUGCAUUUCUUAAAUAUUAAAUGACAACAUCAAUUGCAAAAGUUAUAAUUCAAGAAAUGUUUCAAUUUCUGAAAAUCUUUCAAACAAAAUAUUAGAAAAGCAUGAUGAUGACAGGUCAUUUGCUUAAAAAAUAAAAAUUAUAUAUGGAAAUUGAGUGAUAGAAUCCAGUUAAUUGAUAAUAUGAAGGG